rnacentral:rRNA from 1 species
ACGGGAGGCAGCAGUGAGGAAUAUUGGUCAAUGGAGGCAACUCUGAACCAGCCAUCUCGCGUGAAGGAAUACGGCCCUACGGGUCUUAAACUUCUUUUAUAGGGGGAUAAAGUGAGAUAUGUAUAUCUUUUUGUAGGUACCCUAUGAAUAAGCAUCGGCUAACUCCGUGCCAGCAGCCGCGGUAAUACGGAGGAUGCGAGCGUUAUCCGGAUUUAUUGGGUUUAAAGGGUGCGCAGGCGGGCUGCUAAGUCUCCGGUGAAAUGUCAGGGCUCAACCUUGGCACUGCCGGAGAUACUGGCGGCCUUGAGAGUGGCGGAGGUAUCCGGAAUGUGUGGUGUAGCGGUGAAAUGCAUAGAUAUCACACAGAACACCGAUUGCGAAGGCAGGAUACCAUACCAUAUCUGACGCUCAGGCACGAAAGCGUGGGGAUCGAACAGGAUUAGAUACCCUGGUA